CGAACGGGUGAGUAACACGUGAGCAACCUACCCUUCACUUCGGGAUAAGCCUCGGAAACGGGGUCUAAUACCGGAUAUCACUGACUACUUCAUGGUGGUUGGUUGAAAGUUCUGGCGGUGGGGGAUGGGCUCGCGGCCUAUCAGCUUGUUGGUGGGGUAAUGGCCUACCAAGGCGUCGACGGGUAGCCGGCCUGAGAGGGCGACCGGCCACACUGGGACUGAGACACGGCCCAGACUCCUACGGGAGGCAGCAGUGGGGAAUAUUGCGCAAUGGACGAAAGUCUGACGCAGCAACGCCGCGUGAGGGAUGACGGCCUUCGGGUUGUAAACCUCUUUCAGCAGGGACGAAGCGAGAGUGACGGUACCUGCAGAAGAAGGACCGGCCAACUACGUGCCAGCAGCCGCGGUAAUACGUAGGGUCCGAGCGUUGUCCGGAAUUAUUGGGCGUAAAGGGCUCGUAGGCGGUUCGUCACGUCGGGAGUGAAAACUCGGAGCUCAACUCCGAGCCUGCUUCCGAUACGGGCAGACUAGAGGUAGGCAGGGGAGAGCGGAACUCCUGGUGUAGCGGUGGAAUGCGCAGAUAUCAGGAAGAACACCGGUGGC
rnacentral:rRNA from 1 species